CUUGUCUGCAAAUUCGUAACUUCAAGGGCGAACAUGUGAACAGGGCGAGUUGUCCCGAUACCAAAUUCACGCAUGCGUACUUCAAAUAUCUACAGAAAAAACAUCCGGUUACAAGUAAACAAAUAACGUUGAUGUAGAUGAGAUGAAAUCUAAUAAUUUACAUAAAUAAAAGGGUAUAUAUUUACGAUAGUGAUUGUUUUUUCAAUCCUAAUUUACAAAUUAAAUGAUUCAGAUGCUUAAUCAUG
rnacentral:lncRNA from 1 species